AUCCAGAUGACUAGUCCCAAAUAGGACGAAACUCGUGUCUUGGAU
rnacentral:hammerhead_ribozyme from 1 species